rnacentral:rRNA from 2 species
UUAAGCGACUAAGCGUACACGGUGGAUGCCCUGGCAGUCAGAGGCGAUGAAGGACGUGCUAAUCUGCGAAAAGCGUCGGUAAGGUGAUAUGAACCGUUAUAACCGGCGAUGUCCGAAUGGGGAAACCCAGUGUGAUUCGUCACACUAUCGUUAACUGAAUACAUAGGUUAACGAGGCGAACCGGGGGAACUGAAACAUCUAAGUACCCCGAGGAAAAGAAAUCAACCGAGAUUCCCCCAGUAGCGGCGAGCGAACGGGGAGCAGCCCAGAGUCUGAAUCAGCUUGUGUGUUAGUGGAACGGUCUGGAAAGUCCGACGGUACAGGGUGAUAGUCCCGUACACCAAAAUGCACAGGCUGUGAACUCGAAGAGUAGGGCGGGACACGUGGUAUCCUGUCUGAAUAUGGGGGGACCAUCCUCCAAGGCUAAAUACUCCUGACUGACCGAUAGUGAACCAGUACCGUGAGGGAAAGGCGAAAAGAACCCCGGCGAGGGGAGUGAAAAAGAACCUGAAACCGUGUACGUACAAGCAGUGGGAGCACCUUCGGGUGUGACUGCGUACCUUUUGUAUAAUGGGUCAGCGACUUAUAUUCUGUAGCAAGGUUAACCGUAUAGGGGAGCCGCAGGGAAACCGAGUCUUAACUGGGCGUUAAGUUGCAGGGUAUAGACCCGAAACCCGGUGAUCUAGCCAUGGGCAGGUUGAAGGUUGGGUAACACUAACUGGAGGACCGAACCGACUAAUGUUGAAAAAUUAGCGGAUGACUUGUGGCUGGGGGUGAAAGGCCAAUCAAACCGGGAGAUAGCUGGUUCUCCCCGAAAGCUAUUUAGGUAGCGCCUCGUGAACUCAUCUUCGGGGGUAGAGCACUGUUUCGGCUAGGGGGUCAUCCCGACUUACCAACCCGAUGCAAACUACGAAUACCGAAGAAUGUUAUCACGGGAGACACACGGCGGGUGCUAACGUCCGUCGUGAAGAGGGAAACAACCCAGACCGCCAGCUAAGGUCCCAAAGUCAUGGUUAAGUGGGAAACGAUGUGGGAAGGCACAGACAGCCAGGAUGUUGGCUUAGAAGCAGCCAUCAUUUAAAGAAAGCGUAAUAGCUCACUGGUCGAGUCGGCCUGCGCGGAAGAUGUAACGGGGCUAAACCAUGCACCGAAGCUGCGGCAGCGACACUAUGUGUUGUUGGGUAGGGGAGCGUUCUGUAAGCCUGCGAAGGUGACCUGUGAGGGUUGCUGGAGGUAUCAGAAGUGCGAAUGCUGACAUAAGUAACGAUAAAGCGGGUGAAAAGCCCGCUCGCCGGAAGACCAAGGGUUCCUGUCCAACGUUAAUCGGGGCAGGGUGAGUCGACCCCUAAGGCGAGGCCGAAAGGCGUAGUCGAUGGGAAACAGGUUAAUAUUCCUGUACUUGGUGUUACUGCGAAGGGGGGACGGAGAAGGCUAUGUUAGCCGGGCGACGGUUGUCCCGGUUUAAGCAUGUAGGCUGGUUAUCCAGGCAAAUCCGGAUAAUCAAGGCUGAGGUGUGAUGACGAGGCACUACGGUGCUGAAGUAACAAAUGCCCUGCUUCCAGGAAAAGCCUCUAAGCAUCAGGUAACACGAAAUCGUACCCCAAACCGACACAGGUGGUCAGGUAGAGAAUACCAAGGCGCUUGAGAGAACUCGGGUGAAGGAACUAGGCAAAAUGGUGCCGUAACUUCGGGAGAAGGCACGCUGGUGUGUAGGUGAAGCCCCUGCGGGUGGAGCUGAGACCAGUCGAAGAUACCAGCUGGCUGCAACUGUUUAUUAAAAACACAGCACUGUGCAAACACGAAAGUGGACGUAUACGGUGUGACGCCUGCCCGGUGCCGGAAGGUUAAUUGAUGGGGUUAUCCGUAAGGAGAAGCUCUUGAUCGAAGCCCCGGUAAACGGCGGCCGUAACUAUAACGGUCCUAAGGUAGCGAAAUUCCUUGUCGGGUAAGUUCCGACCUGCACGAAUGGCGUAAUGAUGGCCAGGCUGUCUCCACCCGAGACUCAGUGAAAUUGAACUCGCUGUGAAGAUGCAGUGUACCCGCGGCAAGACGGAAAGACCCCGUGAACCUUUACUAUAGCUUGACACUGAACAUUGAGCCUUGAUGUGUAGGAUAGGUGGGAGGCUUUGAAGCGUGGACGCCAGUCUGCGUGGAGCCAACCUUGAAAUACCACCCUUUAAUGUUUGAUGUUCUAACGUUGGCCCCUUAUCGGGGUUGCGGACAGUGUCUGGUGGGUAGUUUGACUGGGGCGGUCUCCUCCCAAAGCGUAACGGAGGAGCACGAAGGUUAGCUAAUCCUGGUCGGACAUCAGGAGGUUAGUGCAAUGGCAUAAGCUAGCUUGACUGCGAGCGUGACGGCGCGAGCAGGUGCGAAAGCAGGUCAUAGUGAUCCGGUGGUUCUGAAUGGAAGGGCCAUCGCUCAACGGAUAAAAGGUACUCCGGGGAUAACAGGCUGAUACCGCCCAAGAGUUCAUAUCGACGGCGGUGUUUGGCACCUCGAUGUCGGCUCAUCACAUCCUGGGGCUGAAGUAGGUCCCAAGGGUAUGGCUGUUCGCCAUUUAAAGUGGUACGCGAGCUGGGUUUAGAACGUCGUGAGACAGUUCGGUCCCUAUCUGCCGUGGGCGCUGGAGAAUUGAGGGGGGCUGCUCCUAGUACGAGAGGACCGGAGUGGACGCAUCACUGGUGUUCGGGUUGUCAUGCCAAUGGCACUGCCCGGUAGCUAAAUGCGGAAGAGAUAAGUGCUGAAAGCAUCUAAGCACGAAACUUGCCCCGAGAUGAGUUCUCCCUGAGACUUUAAGUCUCCUGAAGGAACGUUAAAGACGAUGACGUUGAUAGGCCGGGUGUGUAAGCGCAGCGAUGCGUUGAGCUAACCGGUACUAAUGAACCGUGAGGCUUAACCUU